AUGGCUUCCAUGAUCUCCAUCCUCUUGCGCUGCUCCCUGCUACUUCUCCUCCUUGUCCAGUCCACCCACUCCUCCGUCACCCAGAAACCCAAGAACGCCAUUGCCGAGGAGCACAAGCAGCCUCAUCCUUCGACCUCGCACACCUACAUCGUCCUCGCCAACCACCUCGCCAAGCCGUCCAAGUUUGACACCCUCGAGCGUUGGUACGCGUCCAUGGCGGGCAAGAACUCCAACCGCAUCCGCUACACCUACGGCACAGUGAUGCACGGUUUUGCGGCACGUCUCACGGACGGCGAGGCCCAGCGCAUGGCGACCGUCCCCGGCGUGUCCAGCGUGUACAAGGACAGGGUGUACCACACCCAGACCACGAGGUCGCCGUGGUUCAUGGGCCUCCACGAUGACUUUGGCGCGUGGCCCGACGCGGAGUUCGGCGACGGCGUCAUCAUCGGCUUCGUCGACACCGGCAUCUGGCCGGAGCGCGCCAGCUUCAACGACGCCGGGCUCAGCCCCGUCAGGUCCACCUGGAGGGGCAAGUGCGUGGACGUCCCGGGAUUCAACGCCAGCUUGUGCAACAACAAGCUCGUCGGCGCCAAGUCCUUCGUCACGGUCGAGCUAGAGGCCGGUGGCCUCCUAACCGAUCCGAGCCCGAGGGACAUCGCUGGGCACGGAACGCACGUGGCGUCAACGGCUGCAGGCUCCGAGGUCCCCUCGGCCGAUCUCUUCCAGUUCGCGGGCGGGAGAGCGAGCGGCGUGGCGCGCAUGGCAAGGAUCGCCAUGUACAGGGCGUGCAACCGAGGAUGCUUUACCUCAGACGUUGUCGCGGCGAUCGACGCCGCGGUGACCGACGGCGUGGACCUCCUCUCCAUGUCCAUCGCAUACCCCGUGGAGCCCUUCUACAACGACCUCCUCUCCGUCGCCACGUUCGGCGCUGAGCGGAGAGGCGUCUUCGUCGUCCUGGCGGGCGGCAAUAAAGGCCCGACAGCGCCAACCGUAUCCAACGUGGCCCCGUGGGUGACCACCGUCGGCGCCGCCACCACGGACCGGGUGUUCCCGGCGACGCUCACGCUCGGCAACGGGGUGGUGCUCACCGGGCAGUCCCUGUACAACAUCCCGUUCUCCCAGUCCCAGGGCGCGGGCAUGAUCCCGCUAGUGCGCACCUCCUGCGGAGAGUAUGAUCUGACGCCCGACAAGGUCAUGGGCAAGGUCGUGGUGUGCUCCCAGGAUGCAGGAGCUUCGGCUGGCUUUGACGUGGAGAGAGCCGGCGGAGCCGGGAUAAUUUCCGUCGAUAAUACGGAACGGUUCUGGGACACGGUAAUGGCCCAACCCUUCCCCCUUCCCGGUCUCCUGCUCAGCUCCGCCGGCGGCAAGAAGCUGGCCGAUUACAUGUCGUCCGUGGCGUACCCGGUGGCGUCCUUCAACUUCACCUGCGACACGGUCACCGGCGAGAACAGGGCGCCGAUGGUGGCGGGCUUCUCCUCGCGGGGCCCUAACCCGAUUGUCCCCGAGAUCCUGAAGCCUGACGUCAUCGCGCCGGGAGUGAACAUCCUCGCCGCCUGGUCAGGUGCCGCCUCGCCAUCUCACUCCGAGAUGGACCCCCGGAGAGUGGAGUACAACAUCCUCUCCGGGACGUCGAUGGCGUGCCCGCACGUGGCCGGCGUGGCGGCCCUGAUCAAGAAGCGGCACGGCGACUGGACGCCGGCCAUGAUCCGUUCGGCGCUGAUGACGACCGCCGGCCCGCUCGACAAGGACGGCAGGGACAUCGUGGACAGCGGCAGUGCCAUCGGCGCCGUCGUCAUGGGCGCGACGCCGCUGGCGGCCGGGGCCGGGCUCGUGCUCCCGCGGCUCGCCAUGGACCCGGGCCUGGUGUACGACGCCGGCACGCAGGACUACGUCGACUUCCUCUGCACACUCAACUACACGGUGGAGCAGAUGCGGAUGUUCGUGCCGGAGCUGAGCAAGUGCGCGAGGACGAUCCCCGGCGGCGUGGCCAACCUCAACUACCCGUCGUUCGUGGUGGUGUUCGACGGCCGCACCCGCGUCCGCACACUGACGCGGACGUUGACCUUGGUGUCGGCGCGCCCCGAGAGCUACAACGUGACGGUCGCGGCGCCCGACGGGGUGAAGGUGACCGUGACGCCGGCGACGUUGGAGUUCAGGUGGCCGAAGGAGAAGAGGAGCUACAGCGUGCAGUUCAGCAGCGAGGCGGAGGCGAAGGCGAGGCCGGCCGGCACGUGGGAGUUCGGCCACAUCGCCUGGGAGAACAGGAAGCACCGGGUCAGGAGCCCCGUCGCCUUCAAAUGGGACAACUGA
rnacentral:rRNA from 1 species